AAAUUUAGGUUAAUCACAUAAACCAGAGACCUUCAAAGCCUCAAAUAGGACCUGAAACGCCUAAUUUCUG
rnacentral:tRNA from 1 species